rnacentral:rRNA from 1 species
UAAACCGGGAUUAGAUGCCCCGUUAUACGAAGGAAUUUACCAAGGGGGGUAGUAUCGGCUACGGCCCCCAAACCCAAAGAACUUGGCGGCAACCUAUCCUAUUAGAGGAGCCUGCCCCAUAACCGACACCACCCGUUAACCCCGGCCCCCAGUAUGUCUGUAUACCGCCGUCUAACCCCUAACUACGAAGGUGGGGUGGUAAGGUUACCACCAAAGACAGGUCGAGGUGCAACGGAUCUGGGGGGAGAGGUGGGCUACAAUCCCCGUGGGGCGGACCCUCCCCCUGGGGGGGAAGAUGGAUUUAGGAUUAUCCGGGGGUUAACACCCUUCGGGGAAAUGGAUUUGGAUCGUGUUCAUAUCGCCCUUCACUCUCAAUAAAUUUGAGAU